AUAAGAGGUCCAGCCUGCCCAGUGACACUGUUUAACGGCCGCGGUAUCCUAACCGUGCGAAGGUAGCGUAAUCACUUGUCCUUUAAAUAGGGACUAGUAUGAACGGCAUCACGAGGGUUAUACUGUCUCCUUUUUCUAAUCAGUGAAACUAAUCUCCCCGUGAAGAGGCGAGGAUAUAUCUAUAAGACGAGAAGACCCUAUGGAGCUUUAAACAAAACAACAUUUGCUAUAUCACCCAUCAAUUUCAGAAAAUUAAUUUUUAUUUUAGCACUAUGCUUGUUAGUUUUAGGUUGGGGUGACCGCGGAGAAAAAAGUAACCUCCACAUUGAAAGGGGCUCCCCCUAAGCAAAAAGCCACAACUUUAUGCAUCAACAAAUUGACAUCAAUUGACCCAAUAUUUUGAUCAACGAAACAAGUUACCCUAGGGAUAACAGCGCAAUCCACUUCGAGAGCCCAUAUCGACAAGUGGGUUUACGACCUCGAUGUUGGAUCAGGG
rnacentral:rRNA from 1 species